AUAUCAAUAAGCGGAGGAAAAGAAACUAACCAGGAUUCCCCUAGUAACGGCGAGUGAAGCGGGACGAGCUCAAAUUUGUAAUCUGGCUGCUUUGCAGUCCGAGUUGUAAUCUCGAGAAGUGUUUUCCGCGCUGGCGGGCAUACAAGUCUGUUGGAAUACAGCGUCAUAGUGGUGAGAACCCCGUAGAUGAUGCCCUGUCCAGUGCUCUGUGAUACACUUUCGAAGAGUCGAGUUGUUUGGGAAUGCAGCUCAAAGUGGGUGGUAAAUUCCAUCUAAAGCUAAAUAUUGGCGAGAGACCGAUAGCGCACAAGUA
rnacentral:rRNA from 1 species